GGCGCUAUAGUGUAGUGGCUAUCACAACGGAUUCUGAACUUCACGUAGUCUUCCGUUAACCCAGGUUCGAACCCUGGUAGCGCCU